rnacentral:snoRNA from 1 species
UAGCAGUGAAGAUCGAAAAUCAUACCUUCAAACUAUGAGAGCUUUGAAAAUAGCCUGUUGAUGCUACCAUUAACUCAUUACUCUGAGCCU